UCUGGCUCAGACGAACGCUGGUAGCGUGGAUUAGGCAUGCAAGUCGAACGGGAUCCGGGAGGUAGCAAUACUUCCUGGUGAGAGUGGCGGAUUGGGGAGGAACACGUGAGCAACCUGCCUGGAGUCGGGGAAAACCGUUGGAAACGACGGCUAAUACCGGAUGUGGCGCCCGAAGACAUCUUCGGAGCGCUAAAGGGGGCCGCAAGGCUCUCGCUCCUAGAGGGGCUCGCGCACCAUCAGCUUGUUGGCGGGUAACGGCCCACCAAGGCCUACGGUUAGCUGGUCUGAGAGGAUGACCAGCCCCACUGGGACUGAGAUACUGCCCAGACUCCUACGGGAGGCUGCAGUCGAGGAUCAUUUGCAAUGGGCGAAAGCCUGACAAUGCGACGCUGCGUGGAGGAAUGAAGGCCUUCGGGUUGUAAACUCCUGUCAUGGGGGAACAGGCGAGGAUACCUAAUACGUAUCUUAGUUGAGUGUACCCCAAGAGGAAUUGGCGGCUAACUCUGUGCCAGCCGCGGC
rnacentral:rRNA from 1 species